UACUAAAGUAGUAAUAGUUAUGUUCUUGAAACUUAAAAAAUUUGGCGGUAUUUUAGUCUAUUCAGAGGAACCUGUCCUGUAAUUGAUAAUCCACGUUGGACCUUACUUAAAUUUGUUAAUCAGUUUGUAUACCGUCGUUAUAAGAAUAUUUUAUAAGAAUAAUAAUUUUCUAGAAGUUUUAUAAAAAUUUAUAUCAGAUCAAGGUGCAGCUUAUAUUUAAGUAGAGAUGGGUUACAAUAAAUUUAUUUAGAUGAAUUAAUAUUUGAAAGUAAAUUAUGAAGGUGGAUUUGAAAGUAAAAUUAUAAAGAUAAAUAAUUUGAUUAUAGCUCUAAAAUAUGUACACAUCGCCCGUCACUCUUAUUAUUAAGGUAAGAUAAGUCGUAACAUAGUAGAUGUACUGGAAAGUGUAUCUAGAAUGCAAUUUAAAGCUUAAAUAGUAAAGCAUUUCAUUUACAUUGAAAAGAUUUUUGUGCAAUUCAUUAUAAAUUGAAUAUAUUUUAUUUAUUAAUUUAUUUAUUUUUAAUUAUUUUUUAUUAGAAAUAACUGUAAGAUAAAAAGUUUCAGUAUUUUAUAAAGAAAAAAUAAAUUUAAUAAUAGUUGAGUAGUAUUGUGAAAGAAAAUUGAAAUAA
rnacentral:rRNA from 1 species